UACGUAGGGAGCUAGCGUUGUCCGGAAUCAUUGGGCGUAAAGCGCGCGUAGGCGGCCCGGUAAGUCCGCUGUGAAAGUCAAAGGCUCAACCUUUGAAUGUCAGCGGAUACUGCCGGGCUAGAGUCCGGAAGAGGCGAGUGGAACUCCUGGUGUAGCGGUGGAAUGCGCAGAUAUCAGGAAGAACACCAACGGCGAAGGCAGCUCGCUGGGACGGAACUGACGCUGAGAGACGAAAGCUAGGGGAGCGAAUGGG
rnacentral:rRNA from 1 species